AGAGUUUGAUCAUGGCUCAGGAUGAACGCUAGCUACAGGCUUAACACAUGCAAGGUCGAGGGGCAGCAUUUCAGUUUGCUUGCAAACUGGAGAUGGCGACCGGCGCACGGGUGAGUAACACGUAUCCAACCUGCCGAUAACUCGGGGAUAGCCUUUCGAAAGAAAGAUUAAUACCCGAUGGUAUAAUUAGACCGCAUGGUCUUAUUAUUAAAGAAUUUCGGUUAUCGAUGGGGGAUGCGUUCCAUUAGGCAGUUGGUGAGGUAACGGCUCACCAAACCUUCGAUGGAUAGGGGUUCUGAGAGGAAGGUCCCCCACAUUGGAACUGAGACACGGUCCAAACUCCUACGGGAGGCAGCA
rnacentral:rRNA from 1 species